rnacentral:rRNA from 1 species
CCUACGGGAGGCAGCAGUGGGGAAUAUUGGACAAUGGGGGCAACCCUGAUCCAGCCAUGCCGCGUGUGUGAAGAAGGCCCUCGGGUUGUAAAGCACUUUCAGUGAGGAAGAACGCCUGGUGGUUAAUACCCAUCAGGAAAGACAUCACUCACAGAAGAAGCACCGGCUAACUCCGUGCCAGCAGCCGCGGUAAUACGGAGGGUGCGAGCGUUAAUCGGAAUUACUGGGCGUAAAGCGCGCGUAGGUGGCUUGAUAAGCCGGUUGUGAAAGCCCCGGGCUCAACCUGGGAACGGCAUCCGGGACUGUCAAGCUAGAGUGCAGGAGAGGAAGGUAGAAUUCCCGGUGUAGCGGUGAAAUGCGUAGAGAUCGGGAGGAAUACCAGUGGCGAAGGCGGCCUUCUGGACUGACACUGACACUGAGGUGCGAAAGCGUGGGUAGCAAACAGGAUUAGAUACCUGAGUAGUC